UACGUAGGGCGCAAGCGUUAUCCGGAAUUAUUGGGCGUAAAGAGCUCGUAGGCGGUUCGGUAAGUCGGGUGUGAAACCUCCAGGCUCAACCUGGAGACGCCACCCGAUACUGCUGUGACUAGAGUCCGGUAGGGGAGCGUGGAAUUCCUGGUGUAGCGGUGAAAUGCGCAGAUAUCAGGAGGAACACCAGCGGCGAAGGCGGCGCUCUGGGCCGGAACUGACGCUGAGGAGCGAAAGCGUGGGGAGCGAACAGG
rnacentral:rRNA from 1 species